rnacentral:rRNA from 1 species
CCUACGGGAGGCUGCAGUGGGGAAUAUUGGACAAUGGGGGGAACCCUGAUCCAGCGACGCCGCGUGAGUGAAGAAGUAUUUCGGUAUGUAAAGCUCUAUCAGCAGGGAAGAAAGAAAUGACGGUACCUGACUAAGAAGCCCCGGCUAACUACGUGCCAGCAGCCGCGGUAAUACGUAGGGGGCAAGCGUUAUCCGGAUUUACUGGGUGUAAAGGGAGCGUAGACGGCGAUGCAAGUCUGAAGUGAAAGGCGGGGGCCCAACCUCCGGACUGCUUUGGAAACUGUAUGGCUGGAGUGCAGGAGAGGUAAGUGGAAUUCCUAGUGUAGCGGUGAAAUGCGUAGAGAUUAGGAGGAACACCAGUGGCGAAGGCGGCUUACUGGACUGUAACUGACGUUGAGGCUCGAAAGCGUGGGGAGCAAACAGGAUUAGAUACCCCUGUAGUC